rnacentral:tRNA from 1 species
GCGCGGUAGUUCAGUUGGUUAGAACGCCGGCCUGUCACGCCGGAGGUCGUGGGUUCAAGUCCCAUCCGC